ensembl:snoRNA
AUCCAAGAUGAGUCAUUGUUCCAAGGGACCAUCUAGUGCCCCUCUCAGGAAAGUAGCAGCUUGGGAUAGAAUAUGGCCUGCCCGUCAUGUCCUUGGGUGAAAGGAAUGCUCUUCUCCUUUUGCCUACAUAGAUUAAAUAAAUAA